AACCGGGAGAGGUAAGAGGUACUACAGGGUAGGAGUGAAAUCUUGUAAUCCCUGUGGGACCACCUGUGGCGAAGGCGUCUUACCAGAACGGGUUCGACGGUGAGGGACGAAAGCUGGGGGCACGAACCGGAUUAGAUACCCGGGUAGUCCCAGCCGUAAACGAUGCUCGCUAGGUGUCAGGCAUGGCGCGACCGUGUCUGGUGCCGCAGGGAAGCCGUGAAGCGAGCCACCUGGGAAGUACGGCCGCAAGGCUGAAACUUAAAGGAAUUGGCGGGGGAGCACAACAACGGGUGGAGCCCUGCGGUUUAAUUGGACUCAACGCCGGACAACUCACCGGGGGCGACAGCAAUAUGUAGGCCAAGCUGAAGACUUUGCCUGAAUCGCUGAGAGUAGAGGUGCAUGG
rnacentral:rRNA from 1 species